GAUGAACGCUGGCGGCGUGCCUAAUACAUGCAAGUCGAGCGAAUGGAUUAAGAGCUUGCUCUUAUGAAGUUAGCGGCGGACGGGUGAGUAACACGUGGGUAACCUGCCCAUAAGACUGGGAUAACUCCGGGAAACCGGGGCUAAUACCGGAUAACAUUUUGAACCGCAUGGUUCGAAAUUGAAAGGCGGCUUCGGCUGUCACUUAUGGAUGGACCCGCGUCGCAUUAGCUAGUUGGUGAGGUAACGGCUCACCAAGGCAACGAUGCGUAGCCGACCUCAGAGGGUGAUCGGCUACACUGGGACUGAGACACGGCCCAGACUCCUACGGGAGGCAGCAGUAGGGAAUCUUCCGCAAUGGACGAAAGUCUGACGGAGCAACGCCGCGUGAGUGAUGAAGGCUUUCGGGUCGUAAAACUCUGUUGUUAGGGAAGAACAAGUGCUAGUUGAAUAAGCUGGCACCUUGACGGUACCUAACCAGAAAGCCACGGCUAACUACGUGCCAGCCGCCGCGGUAA
rnacentral:rRNA from 1 species